UUCGGGGGACGAUACGGCGUCGAGCGGCGGACGGGUGAGUAAUGCCUAGGAAAUUGCCCUGGUGUGGGGGAUAACCAUUGGAAACGAUGGCUAAUACCGCAUAAUACCUACGGGUCAAAGAGGGGGACCUUCGGGCCUCUCGCGUCAGGAUAUGCCUAGGUGGGAUUAGCUAGUUGGUGAGGUAAUGGCUCACCAAGGCGACGAUCCCUAGCUGGUCUGAGAGGAUGAUCAGCCACACUGGAACUGAGACACGGUCCAGACUCCUACGGGAGGCAGCAGUGGGGAAUAUUGCACAAUGGGCGCAAGCCUGAUGCAGCCAUGCCGCGUGUGUGAAGAAGGCCUUCGGGUUGUAAAGCACUUUCAGUCGUGAGGAAGGUAGUGUAGUUAAUAGCUGCAUUAUUUGACGUUAGCGACAGAAGAAGCACCGGCUAACUCCGUGCCAGCAGCCGCGGUAAUACGGAGGGUGCGAGCGUUAAUCGGAAUUACUGGGCGUAAAGCGCAUGCAGGUGGUUUGUUAAGUCAGAUGUGAAAGCCCGGGGCUCAACCUCGGAAUAGCAUUUGAAACUGGCAGACUAGAGUACUGUAGAGGGGGGUAGAAUUUCAGGUGUAGCGGUGAAAUGCGUAGAGAUCUGAAGGAAUACCGGUGGCGAAGGCGGCCCCCUGGACAGAUACUGACACUCAGAUGCGAAAGCGUGGGGAGCAAACAGGAUUAGAUACCCUGGUAGUCCACGCCGUAAACGAUGUCUACUUGGAGGUUGUGGCCUUGAGCCGUGGCUUUCGGAGCUAACGCGUUAAGUAGACCGCCUGGGGAGUACGGUCGCAAGAUUAAAACUCAAAUGAAUUGACGGGGGCCCGCACAAGCCGGUGGAGCAUGUGGUUU
rnacentral:rRNA from 1 species